UAAAAUGCUAUUCUGUCAUUGU
rnacentral:miRNA from 8 species